GGGGGCGGGGACUACUUUUUGGCGGCGCAGGGAUCCUGCUAAGGACGUGGCGUGCCGUGUGCCGCGGCCCCGAGCCUGGGCCUCCGGUCGCCAUUGCGGCGGCGGCGCCGUGAGGGAGAGGUGGGAGUGAGGUGUGAGCCGCCGGGCGGAGGUGGGCAGCGCUGCGGAGCCGCCCUGACAGCCACGGCUCCGGGGACGCUUCCAGGCGGGUCACGUCGGGCUGAAGGGAGGCGGGCGGCAGGCAGGGAUGCCUGCUAGCUGCAGGGGGAUGGCGGUGGGACGCGCUGCUGCCUUCUCUUUUCAAACUGCUCGUUUGCCUGUUUAUUUAUGUUUUCAAUGCUGGCUCAGUGUACAGCAUCCGUUUCGUGUCAAAACCGCGCAGGUCUUAGGGAUGAACUGCUGAGAGCACCUCCAGAGAGAGCCCUGCUCGCAGACGUGGCAGCGGGCACGUCGGGUCUGGGAACGUGUCAGCCCCCGUUUAUUUCUGCACAAAUACACAUCGCUGUGGCUGUACUCUAAAUAUACGCUAAAGGAGCGUUAGCUGGAGCGAUGCAGCCGCUGUCACGCAGCGAGGUUAAGGAGGAAUGAUGGAGCGUCCGGAGUGCUUUACGCUAGGGCUGCAGCGUGAUGUGGGUUGCCACGUCUGCAGGGAGCUGUCUUCUGAUGCUCGUCUGGAGAUCAGCCCAAUACGGUCAGAUUCUGAACCUGUGAAGAGUGUCUGAUUUACGGGUGCGUAUGGCAGAAAAAUAGCAUUGAGUAUUGGAAAUACUGUGGUCUUAGAACUGUUUUUGUGAGAGCUUUUGGAAACUGAACAUCAAAAAGGAGAUGAAAAUAAAUCCGUGACUCCUGUGUGCUUA